UGGGGAAUUUUGGACAAUGGGCGAAAGCCUGAUCCAGCAAUGCCGCGUGAGUGAAGAAGGCCUUCGGGUUGUAAUGCUCUUUUGUCAGGGAAGAAACGGUGAGAGCUAAUAUCUCUUGCUAAUGACGGUACCUGAAGAAUAAGCACCGGCUAACUACGUGCCAGCAGCCGCGGUAAUACGUAGGGUGCAAGCGUUAAUCGGAAUUACUGGGCGUAAGCAUGCGCAGGCGGUUUUGUAAGUCUGAUGUGAAUCCCGGGCUCAACCUGGGAAUUGCAUUGGAGACUGCAAGGCUAGAAUCUGGCAGAGGGGGGUAGAAUUCCACGUGUAGCAGUGAAAUGCGUAGAUAUGUGGAGGAACACCGAUGGCGAAGGCAGCCCCCUGGGUCAAGAUUGACGCUCAUGCACGAAAGCGUGGGGAGCAAAACAGGAUUAGAUACCCCUGGUAGUCCACGCCCUAAACGAUGUCUACUAGUUGUCGGGUCUUAAUUGACUUGGUAACGCAGCUAACGCGUGAAGUAGACCGCCUGGGGAGUACGGCCGCAAGGUUAAAAACUUAAAUGAAUUGACGGGGGUCAUAGCUGUUUCCUG
rnacentral:rRNA from 1 species